rnacentral:rRNA from 1 species
AGUGAACGCUGGCGGCAGGCCUAACACAUGCAAGUCGAACGGCAGCACAGGGGAGCUUGCUCCCUGGGUGGCGAGUGGCGGACGGGUGAGGAAUGCGUCGGAAUCUGCCUUUUCGUGGGGGAUAACGUAGGGAAACUUACGCUAAUACCGCAUACGACCUACGGGUGAAAGCCGGGGACCUUCGGGCCUGGCGCGGAAAGAUGAGCCGACGUCGGAUUAGCUGGUUGGAGGGGUAACGGCCCACCAAGGCGACGAUCCGUAGCUGGUCUGAGCGGAGGAUCAGCCAAACUGGGACUGAGACACGGCCCAGACUCCUACGGGAGGCAGCAGUGGGGAAUAUUGGACAAUGGGCGCAAGCCUGAUCCAGCCAUGCCGCGUGUGUGAAGAAGGCCUUCGGGUUGUAAAGCACUUUUGUACGGGAAGAAAAGCCCCGGGUUAAUACCCUGGGGUCAUGACGGUACCGUAAGAAUAAGCACCGGCUAACUUCGUGCCAGCCGCCGCCGUAA